rnacentral:rRNA from 1 species
CAGCCGCCGCGGUAAUACGUAGGGUGCGAGCGUUAAUCGGAAUUACUGGGCGUAAAGCGUGCGCAGGCGGAUUGUUAAGCAAGACGUGAAAUCCCCGGGCUUAACCUGGGAAUGGCGUUUUGAACUGGCAGUCUAGAGUGUGUCAGAGGGGGGUAGAAUUCCACGUGUAGCAGUGAAAUGCGUAGAGAUGUGGAGGAAUACCGAUGGCGAAGGCAGCCCCCUGGGAUAACACUGACGCUCAUGUACGAAAGCGUGGGUAGCAAACAGGAUUAGAUACCCUGGUAGUCCACGCCCUAAACGAUGUCAACUGGUUGUUGGGGGAGUGAAAUCCCUUAGUAACGAAGCUAACGCGUGAAGUUGACCGCCUGGGGAGUACGGUCGCAAGAUUAAAACUCAAAGGAAUUGACGGGGACCCGCACAAGCGGUGGAUGAUGUGGAUUAAUUCGAUGCAACGCGAAAAACCUUACCUACCCUUGACAUGUCCAGAAUCCUGCAGAGAUGCGGGAGUGCCCGAAAGGGAAUUGGAACACAGGUGCUGCAUGGCUGUCGUCAGCUCGUGUCGUGAGAUGUUGGGUUAAGUCCCGCAACGAGCGCAACCCUUAUCAUUAGUUGCUACGCAAGGGCACUCUAAUGAGACUGCCGGUGACAAACCGGAGGAAGGUGGGGAUGACGUCAAGUCCUCAUGGCCCUUAUGGGUAGGGCUUCACACGUCAUACAAUGGUCGGUACAGAGGGUUGCCAAGCCGCGAGGUGGAGCCAAUCCCAGAAAGCCGAUCGUAGUCCGGAUUGUUCUCUGCAACUCGAGAGCAUGAAGUCGGAAUCGCUAGUAAUCGCGGAUCAGCAUGUCGCGGUGAAUACGUUCCCGGGUCUUGUACACACCGCCCAA